rnacentral:tRNA from 1 species
GCCGCUGUAGCUCAGUCGGUAGAGCAAAGGACUGAAAAUCCUUGUGUCGAGGGUUCGAUCCCCUCUGGCGGCA